GAAGAACUUUUUUUUUUCCGUGCAAAACGUUAUGUAAUUUGCUCUCAUCCUGCACUGAUACAGAGGUGGCUAUCAAGAAGCCUUCACAUACAGCCCAUCCAGCUGAGCUGCCAUUUUUCCACACAGAACUGGAGCCAGAGCAUUUCAGAAGCUAGUUCCCCCACUCCCUUUAACAAAUCAGUCAAUAAUCGAUGUACUGCUCCCCCCACCUUCCCCACUGCCCCAGUGCCCAACUUGUUGUCCCUCUCACUUCCCGGUGUGGGAAGCCACCGAGUUGAAAGGAGGGAGCCAGGAUGGAAGUGGAGAAAGCAGGAGUCAGAGAGAGGAAGGGAAAUCGGAGCCACAGGGGGGAGAGGAUGCGCUGAGGAACCUGGAGGGGAGGGCAGAAGAGGGACAAGAGAGCAAGGAAGGGAAGAAAAAAGGACAAGAGGAAGGGAGAAAACUGAGGGAGCAAGGAAGGGAGAAAGAAAAAGACGGCUGAAGGGGUCAAGGAGGCCCUGGAGAGGAACCACGGGGAGCAGAGGGCGCGGAGCAGCUGCUGUUAAUUCCCGCAGGCUCCCGGCCGGGGGCAGCUCCAUGCCCGGAGGCAACCCCACGUCCGCACCCCUCCGCUCCAUCCUCCUCUCCGUAUCCCUGCCUCGCCCACGCUCCGGUCGGUCCCCUCCUCUUCCUCUGCCCCGGGGCCCGGCCUGUGCCGAGCGGGGGCACUGCGCGGCGCUGCCGGCGGGUCGCGAGCCCGGCCAGGAGUGCAGGCACUACCGCAAUGUUUUGCCGCAACACGAUGGCCGGAGCCGGCUCGGCUACUGCCGGCUCCCCUCUAUCGCGGGCGCCCCAUCGCCCUCUGCCUCCCGGCGGGGGAACGCAAGAAAGACCCGGGCGCUCACACACCGCGCACACUCCGGCUUGGAACGGGCACAGCGCGGCGACGCAGCCCUCGUCCCUUCCAGCCCUUCGCAACAAGUAGACAUGAAAAGCAGUUUUAUCCUGAAGCUCUUGUAGACGCCUGCAGAAACAUCUCCUGUCUUCACUACAUUUUUUCUUUAUUAAAUCAAGCCAGCAUUUCCAUAAUAGUGGAGACCAGAAACUUCAAGACUCUGGAAUAUCUGGAUGUAUCUUUUUUGAAGUGGAUUGUGGUUGACAGUGCAAAAUGUUGCCUUAGCCAAGAUGCUUCUGGUGUUGGAAAACCUGUGAGUAUUUCCAUGAAAUUCCCAAGUACAUCUAAUGAUAGUAGCUUUUUUUUUCACAAAAAGUAUAACUUCACUGAAACUUAGUAGUGUCCUUCUGGAGUUUGAUUUGGUAGUUAAAUACCAAUCACUAUUAUGAAAAUGAUUUCUAAGACUUGCCUUGUAAAGCUUUUGGGUUAGUCAUGUCUUUCACACCUUUAACAUUCUGACUUCCAUUCACUGACAUGUUCAAGACAUCUAGUUAAUGCAAGAGCACAAGAUCAAGUAUGGAGAUAAGGUAAGGAAUAGUAUAGGGAAAACACAAUUUCCUGUGUAAUUUUGAAUAUCUCAUUCUACUUUAAAAAGAUAGGCUACAAAGACAUACAGUAGAAAAUCAAAUAAGGAUUGCAAAUACAGGGAUGAAAGAUAACACAGAGAGUAUACACAAAAAAUCUAGGGAAUGAGAAGAAAGCAUUGAAUCUGAAACAAGCUGCUGUGGAGUCUCCUUCUCUGGAGAUAUUCAAAACUCACCUGGACACUUCCCAGUACACCUUAUUCUAGGGAACCUGCUUUAGUAGGAGGUUGGAUGCAGUGUUCUCCUGAGGUCCCUUCCAAUCCCUAAAAUUCAGUGGCUUUGUUAUUCUGUGAAUAAAAACAACCCCAAGCACAUAUAACCACAAAGGUUAUGAAUAUCUGCAUUACCACCAUUUAAGCAGAUUAAGUCAGAAUUUGAUUUAGUUUAAGUUCCAAUAAUAAAUUAAUCUCCAUCUGUUCUACACUAUAGUUUACUUGUGGUGAUUCUGUCUCCAAUUCACUACAUCUGAAAAAGUUCAAAAGAUGGUUCAAUGUGCACAAACUUAUUUUAAAACUCUCAAGAUACUGAAUCUCAAAUGCAUGAUCUUUUGGGCUUGAAACCAACGUAAACAUAGAUAAAUUGUCUUUCAGAUCACCAGUAGUGUAAAUCCAAGAGCUACUUGGAAGAUUCUCUGGAGUUGUCAACUGCUAUGUUAAGACUGUUUGAAUUAAAAGCAAUCACUCGAUUAGCAGAGGAAGGAAGAAUAAUCCAGAGAUGGGGGAUCCUUAGUAUCCUGCAUCCUGUUCUGAAGAGCCAGCUAACAAGCCAGGAGGUCUCCAGUUAAAGCUGUAAGACUCAUUCCUUUCUCUAAAAUCCUUCCUUAGUAAUUUCAACAUAAUUAUCAUGGCAACCAGAAGUAUUUUUACAUCAUAGCUCUGGCAGUUCAAACAAACCCUUCACAUUUUGUACUCAUUUGAACAAUGUCACCAGUAACCUUCAAUAAAGAAAUGACAUUAUACUGUAUAGUACGUUAUUCUCUGUUUGUUCAGUCAUAAACCUUUUGGUCCUAGCUUGUCCUUGGAAAGCAAACAAAGAAAAUAAAAUCUCAGAACCCAGUGUUUUGUUGGAACUACAGUAACUCAAUUUAAAAGGUUCAUCUACCGAGAUGAAUCACCAAAAACUGAAUAACAAGGAUUUUGUUGACUCUUUAAAUGAUUCCUUUGAUAUAAGUUAAUAACAUCUACGUCG
ensembl:lncRNA